rnacentral:rRNA from 1 species
UACGAAGGGUGCUAGCGUUGUUCGGAAUCACUGGGCGUAAAGCGUGCGUAGGCGGCUUCUCAAGUCAGGGGUGAAAUCCUGAGGCUCAACCUCAGAAUUGCCUUUGAAACUGUGAAGCUGGAGUACUGGAGGGGAUAGCGGAAUUCCUAAUGUAGAGGUGAAAUUCGUAGAUAUUCGCAAGAACACCAGUGGCGAAGGCGGCUCACUGGCCCGGUACUGACGCUGAGGUGCGAAAGCGUGGGGAGCAAACAGG